AAAUUCCCUUUCGUUUAUGAAUUUACUGUGAAUUUUACAGAAGAUAUCAAGACUGAAUAAAUUAGCAUUAUUCCUAAAGCAGCACCGGAGUGACUUCUCUAUUCACUAGGGUCUAGGUAUGUAACAGCAAACUAGAAAUGCAAUGCUUUGUCAAAGCCAUGUGCAACAGACACACUUGAUUCUGCAACUAAUUAGUAGAGGUGUCCUGCUUUGAAAAUUUGUCUCGUCUCAAACUCUUCGUCUGACUCACGCAUAUGACUUGUCAGUUGUCAUGGCACAGACUGCAGUUCAAUUGUUGUGAGCAGGAUUCAGAAAAUAAUGCUGAAGCCUAUGUCCUGACCUGAUUGGCACACUAUCCUGCAAAAGCAACCACGCGGUGGUGCUCCAGUUUUUAAACUGCAUUCCUACGUGAAACAAGCCAAUCGGUGCCCCUGAGUAUCAUUAGUAAACCAGGCACUGCAAGUCACCAACAGCAACUCAACAAGCCGACGAAUGAACACAUGAACCAGCAUCAGAAGGAAGGAAAUACCUCAUCAGCCAUAUUCCCGUAAUAAUCAACAAAUAGGCCAUAGCAACCGCGUCUCGGAGUCUCAGAGAGUGAACGUGAACGAUGCGAUGACCUAGUGUUCCCAUAUAAAAUUAAAAGGCGAGCAUGGGAUGAUGUGAAAUGCGGAACUCACCUGGGUUGGACGACGAGGAGGAUGACCGGCAACAAACUGACCCCCCGGCACCCCGCUCUCCCCUACUUCAUUCGGAGACGGCGUCUCCAAGCGUUGGCUCG
rnacentral:lncRNA from 1 species